rnacentral:rRNA from 1 species
GACGAACGCUGGCGGCGUGCUUAACACAUGCAAGUGGAGCGACGAACCGGGGCUUGCCCCGGGGCAGAGCCGCGAACGGGUGAGUAACACGUGGGUUACCUACCCCGAUGACUGGGACAACCCGAGGAAACUCGGGCUAAUACCGGAUGUGGUCUACGGACUAAAGGAAGCUUCGGCCUCCGCAUUGGGAUGGGCCCGCGGCGCAUUAGCUAGUUGGUGGGGUAACGGCCUACCAAGGCGACGAUGCGUAGCUGGUCUGAGAGGACGAUCAGCCACACUGGGACUGAGACACGGCCCAGACUCCUACGGGAGGCAGCAGUGGGGAAUCUUGCGCAAUGCGCGAAAGCGUGACGCAGCAACGCCGCGU